rnacentral:rRNA from 1 species
GUGGGGGAUAUUGCACAAUGGAGGAAACUCUGAUGCAGCGACGCCGCGUGAGUGAAGAAGUAUUUCGGUAUGUAAAGCUCUAUCAGCAGGGAAGAUAAUGACAGUACCUGACUAAGAAGCCCCGGCUAACUACGUGCCAGCAGCCGCGGUAAUACGUAGGGGGCAAGCGUUAUCCGGAUUUACUGGGUGUAAAGGGAGCGUAGACGGACUGGCAAGUCUGCAGUGAAAUCCUGCGGCUUAACUGCAGAAUUGCUUUGGAAACUGUCAAUCUGGAGUGUUGGAGGGGUAAGCGGAAUUCCUGGUGUAGCGGUGAAAUGCGUAGAUAUCAGGAAGAACACCGGAGGCGAAGGCGGCUUACUGGACAAUAACUGACGUUGAGGCUCGAAAGCGUGGGAAGCAAACAGGAUUAGAAACCCUAGUAGUCC